UUAGGAGAGCAGCCAUCCGAGACAUCCACAGAAACCAGCCCCCUCCCAAGAAGCUGAGUCCCAAACUAGAUUACAGCCAAAGAGAAUGGAGGGACAGAGCAAUGCCUUGCUGUCGUGGAAGAAAAUAACACACUUUGAAUUGAAUUAGUUGUUCUGUAACCAAGCCUUGUCACAUUAACGCUGUGUGUAUCAAAAAACGCUCAGAGCUGUCAGCUUCAUACGCCUGUGAUUCGGUGCUGCUCAGAAGACUGUAGGUCGGCUGGGGGCUGGCUGCCAGAGGACAGGACUGCCGGCCUUGCUCGCCUUCACACUGCAGAUUAAGUUGAGGUACA
rnacentral:lncRNA from 1 species